rnacentral:rRNA from 1 species
AUGGCCGAGGACACGGAGACGAGGCCCGCGUCGGCGGGCGCGGAGGAGAGGGAGGAGGGGGAGAUCGCGGACGACGGAGACGGCUCCUCCGCCGCCGCUGCGGGGCGCAUCACCGCCCACCCGCUCGAGAACGCCUGGACCUUCUGGUUCGACAACCCGCAGGGCAAGUCCAGGCAGGUGGCCUGGGGGAGCACCAUCCACCCCAUCCACACCUUCUCCACCGUCGAGGACUUCUGGGGCCUUUACAACAAUAUCCAUAACCCUAGCAAGUUGAAUGUGGGAGCCGACUUCCAUUGCUUCAAGAACAAGAUUGAGCCAAAAUGGGAAGACCCCAUUUGUGCCAAUGGCGGUAAAUGGACCAUCAGCUGUGGCAGAGGGAAAUCUGACACAUUCUGGUUGCAUACUUUGCUGGCAAUGAUUGGUGAACAAUUUGACUUUGGUGAUGAAAUUUGUGGAGCAGUCGUUAGCGUGCGUCAGAAACAGGAAAGAGUAGCUAUCUGGACCAAAAAUGCUGCCAAUGAAGCUGCUCAGAUAAGCAUUGGCAAGCAGUGGAAGGAGUUUCUGGACUACAAGGACUCCAUUGGGUUCAUUGUUCAUGAGGAUGCAAAGAGGUCUGACAAAGGCCCCAAGAACCGCUACACCGUUUGA